AUGAAGCUGGAGAAGAGACAGAGAGCCAACCAGGAGUGACUUGUCCCCGCCCCACCAGUCAGCCCCUCACUGCUGCCCCCUAGCUGUCCUCUCUGCCAGUGCCUUCUGUUAUCACACAGUGUCAAUGGAUCUUCGUCAAACGUGGUGCUUUCUGGUGAACUCUGGUUACAAAGUUGACGUGGUCUCUUGCAGUUUGGAAAAAACAAAAACAACAAAAAAAACAUUGGUGAGAUCUAGCCAGGUCAAACAGAACUCUUUCCAGCUCCUGGAGAAGAUCAGUCCAAUCCAGCAGGUUUACUACAGGUCAAAGUCCUACCAGCAACUUCUACUUUACAAUAUACCGCUCACUGUUAGUCCUUUUCUGGCUGAACCGUGAACUCUCCACCUGGCAUUCCAGGCCCAAACUGGAUGGCCAUGACACCUCUGGGACAGAAGGGGGCGCUAGAUCUGUGAUCUGACGAUAGAAGUUCAAAACUGAGACUCUUCAACUCUGUUUAUCCUCCCUUUGGUAAAAGCCUAAAAGGAAACAAAUAUGGAAUUCAGUCAACAACUGAAAGGAAAAGCACACAGAGAACCAAUCAGCAGCAUAUGACCUCAUUUAAUGAACCACUGAAGUGACUGCUACUAACCACAUCCUCCAUCGUGACCCUCAGCAUUAACUGUGAACUCCAAUAUACCUUCAAAGGAUCGUACCCAGUAGAGUUCAUCCAUAACCUUUGUGUUUGAGCCCAAGCUCCUCCGCGUUUGUGUGUUUGUGUUUGUGUUUGUGUUUUACUGUGCAUGCUUCCAUCGUUGGCAUAUGUUUGCUUCUCUUUGUCCUUUUGUUUUUGUAUUAUUUAUAAAAAAAAAUCAGUGUUAUUUAUAUAUGUACAAUUUAUGGUUGAAUUAAAGAAAGGUUUUUGCAUGGGCAGCAGUUGAUCAGUAUGUCUUUAGUCUCGACUCCAUAGAUAGGAACUUGAGGUAAAUCUACCAUCUCUAUUGGGUUGUAUUGUCUGAAAGAAAGUUUACUCAAAUACAUUGUAAUACAGGUGUGAAGUGUUUGUCCACACCUGCAAACGCUCAUGCACUAAUUACUAUUGUGCAUUUUAAAGUUAUUCUGGCUUAUAUCCUCUCUUAGUUCUACACGCCAGUUUGCUCUUUAUCUAAUGACCUUAAUUGGCCUGGGAAAGAAACAACCAAUUAGUGUUCCAUUGGUAUGGCGGUGUAGCCUAUCAUUUUGCCAUAUCCAUAUUUUGACCUGCAGGGGGAGACUGUGCAUAAAAAAAGAAUGAAUGUUCCCAAGCUGGUGAGAGGGUAAAGUUUCCCCCUCCUCUGUCUGUCUGUACUCCUCCACGCUGGAUCUUGGGUGUUCUUUCUUUUAAAAAGUGAAAAUGAUCAUGAGUCAGAGAGAUCCAUACUUCACCAUCACCCAGAGAUGCAAUGUCUCCUUGUUUCCUCAGUGAGUUGGUUAAUAGGGGGUUAUAAUGAGAGGUGUGUUAGAGAUAAGUUACCUAUUUGAUAGCAUAUCUAAGCUGUAAUCUUAAAAGCUU
ensembl:lncRNA